rnacentral:rRNA from 1 species
GUUGUAUAGUCAAGUAAUUAAGUGCAUGUGGUGGAUGCCUUGGCAGUCAGAGGCGAUGAAAGACGUGAUAGCCUGCGAAAAGCUCCGGGGAGGCGGCAAAUAUCCUUUGAUCCGGAGAUGUCUGAAUGGGGAACCCACCUACUUUAAGGUAGGUAUUGCAACAUGAAUACAUAGUGUUGCAAGGCGAACGAGGGGAAGUGAAACAUCUCAGUACCCUUAGGAAAAGAAAUCAAUUGAGAUUCCCUCAGUAGCGGCGAGCGAACGGGGAUCAGCCCAUUAAGUUAUGUGUGUUUUAGUGGAACGCUCUGGGAAGUGCGAACGUAGAGGGUGAUAUUCCCGUACACGAAAGGGCACACAUAAUGAUGACGAGUAGGGCGAGGCACGUGAAACCUUGUCUGAAUAUGGGGGGACCAUCCUCCAAGGCUAAAUACUCCUGACUGACCGAUAGUGAACCAGUACCGUGAGGGAAAGGCGAAAAGAACCCCUGUGAGGGGAGUGAAAUAGAUCCUGAAACCGCAUGCAUACAAGCAGUGGGAGCACCUUCGUGGUGUGACUGCGUACCUUUUGUAUAAUGGGUCAGCGACUUAUAUUCAGUAGCGAGGUUAACCGUAUAGGGGAGCCGUAGAGAAAUCGAGUCUUAAUAGGGCGUUUAGUUGCUGGGUAUAGACCCGAAACCAGGCGAUCUAUCCAUGAGCAGGUUGAAGGUUGGGUAACACUAACUGGAGGACCGAACCCACUGUCGUUGAAAAGCCAGGGGAUGACUUGUGGAUAGGGGUGAAAGGCUAAUCAAGCCUGGUGAUAGCUGGUUCUCCCCGAAAGCUAUUUAGGUAGCGCCUCGGACGAAUACCAUAGGGGGUAGAGCACUGUUUCGGCUAGGGGGUCAUCCCGACUUACCAAACCGAUGCAAACUCCGAAUACCUAUGAGUACUAUCCGGGAGACAGACUGCGGGUGCUAACGUCCGUAGUCAAGAGGAAAACAAUCCAGACCGCCAGCUAAGGCCCCAAAAUCAUAGUUAAGUGGGAAACGAUGUGGGAAGGCAUAGACAGCUAGGAGGUUGGCUUAGAAGCAGCCACCCUUUAAAGAAAGCGUAAUAGCUCACUAGUCGAGUCGGCCUGCGCGGAAGAUGUAACGGGGCUAAAACUAUGUGCCGAAGCUGCGGAUGUAUACUUUGUAUACGUGGUAGGGGAGCGUUCUGUAAGCCGAUGAAGGUGUGUUGAGAAGCAUGCUGGAGGUAUCAGAAGUGCGAAUGCUGACGUGAGUAACGACAAAACGGGUGAAAAACCCGUUCGCCGAAAGACCAAGGGUUCCAGUCCAACGUUAAUCGGGGCUGGGUGAGUCGACCCCUAAGGCGAGGCCGAAAGGCGUAGUCGAUGGGAAAAUGGUUAAUAUUCCAUUACUUCUGUGUAAUGCGAUGAGAGGACGGAGAAGGCUAAAUCAGCCUGGCGUUGGUUGUCCAGGUGAAAGGAUGUAGGCAUGUAUCUUAGGCAAAUCCGGGGUACUCUAUGCUGAGAUCUGAUAGCAAGCUGUACUUGUACAGCGAAGUGGUUGAUGCCAUGCUUCCAGGAAAAGUCUCUAAGCUUCAGUUACACAGGAAUCGUACCCGAAACCGACACAGGUGGUCAGGUCGAGUAGACCAAGGCGCUUGAGAGAACUCUGCUGAAGGAACUAGGCAAAAUGGUACCGUAACUUCGGGAGAAGGUACGCUGUUGUUGGUGAUGGAACUCGCUUCCUGAGCUGACGACAGCCGCAGAAACCAGGCCGCUGCAACUGUUUAUUAAAAACAUAGCACUCUGCAAACACGAAAGUGGACGUAUAGGGUGUGAUGCCUGCCCGGUGCUGGAAGGUUAAUUGAUGGGGUUAGCGUAAGCGAAGCUCUUGAUCGAAGCCCCAGUAAACGGCGGCCGUAACUAUAACGGUCCUAAGGUAGCGAAAUUCCUUGUCGGGUAAGUUCCGACCUGCACGAAUGGCAUAAUGAUGGCGGCGCUGUCUCCAGCAGAGGCUCAGUGAAAUCGAAAUCGCUGUGAAGAUGCAGUGUACCCGCGGCUAGACGGAAAGACCCCGUGAACCUUUACUGCAGCUUGACACUGAACUUUGACCUUACUUGUGUAGGAUAGGUGGGAGGCUUUGAAGCUGGAACGCUAGUUCCAGUGGAGCCGUCCUUGAAAUACCACCCUGGUAAUGUUGAGGUUCUAACUCUGUCCCGUGAUCCGGGACGAGGACCGUGUCUGGUGGGUAGUUUGACUGGGGCGGUCUCCUCCUAAAGAGUAACGGAGGAGUACGAAGGUGCGCUCAGCGUGGUCGGAAAUCACGCGUAGAGUAUAAAGGCAAAAGCGCGCUUAACUGCGAGACCCACAAGUCGAGCAGGUACGAAAGUAGGUCUUAGUGAUCCGGUGGUUCUGUAUGGAAGGGCCAUCGCUCAACGGAUAAAAGGUACUCUGGGGAUAACAGGCUGAUACCGCCCAAGAGUUCAUAUCGACGGCGGUGUUUGGCACCUCGAUGUCGGCUCAUCUCAUCCUGGGGCUGAAGCAGGUCCCAAGGGUAUGGCUGUUCGCCAUUUAAAGAGGUACGCGAGCUGGGUUUAGAACGUCGUGAGACAGUUCGGUCCCUAUCUACCGUGGGCGCUGGAAAUUUGAGAGGAUCUGCUCCUAGUACGAGAGGACCAGAGUGGACGAACCUCUGGUGUACCGGUUGUGACGCCAGUCGCAUCGCCGGGUAGCUAUGUUCGGAAGGGAUAACCGCUGAAAGCAUCUAAGCGGGAAGCCUACCUCAAGAUAAGAUUUCCCUAGGACUUUAUGUCCUCUAAAGAGCCGUUCGAGACUAGGACGUUGAUAGGUUGGAUGUGGAAGCAUAGUGAUAUGUGAAGCUGACCAAUACUAAUUGCUCGUGAGGCUUGACUAUACAACACCCAAGCAGUUG